CGCAGAGUUACUUAAUAAAAUACAUUUCGCUGCAAUAAGAAAAACAUUGAAAAUGUAAUAUUCAAAUUCAAUUUUCUCACGAAAAAUGUUACGGUAAUUACUGAUUUUCAAACGAGUUAUGCUCACUGCAGCUGUCACUAUGGUAUCCCCCCUCUUUAUGAAUUCCUUCCCACCUUAAAUAUAACUACAUACCAUCAGAUGGAAGAAAUGUUGCAAUAUUCUGGUUCUAUUUCCUUGUUUUGAUGUUUGCCACGAUGAAAUUAUUUUCGUUUCAAAAAACGUUGAAAUUCCGAAACUAACUCGUAACGUGAUAUCCUAAAAACUGCGUGACAGAUAAGAUCAAUUAUCCAAAACGCUUAUUCAUGCAUAUCAUUAUGCGUAGAUGACCAUUUGAUUUCCUAGCAACUGCAUAUUACCUGAGAAAUUUUGGCUGUAAAAUAUUUAAUAAUGACGAAAACUUUAUUUAUCCACGGUUUAAAACUAUUUUCAAAAAGUGGUUUUCCAAGCUGUGCUAGAUUAUUACAUACAUAAAUUACUACAAUAUUACAAAGAACAGAAAAAAUAUAUAAGUAUGGCUAAAACACUAUACCUUACACACUUUUUGAUCAUAAAGUACUUUUACAAGCCACGGCAAGCCACGGCACUCCCAAGUUCAUGUUUUAUCAUACCUGAAAAACUCGAUUUUUUAAAUAUGCUAAAACGCCCAUCGCCGUGCUUUAAAGGAUUAGUGUCAGGGUCAUGCAUUGCAGGCUUUUGUUAUUGUUUACAUUUUACUCAAAUACAACAAAUAGCGAUAAAAAUACCUUGUUUGGUACAUUAUUUGAUAAAAAUCAGACAAAAAGAGCAAAGAUUAUAAAAGGAUGGUUUAAAUAUAUGACGGAUUGUAAAUACUUUCCCGAUCAUCUAAUCUAUUCCUUCCGAAAAAUGGCCGCCAGCAGGAGUUUGAGCUCGCGAAUUCCUGGUGUGACACUAAUCCUUUUCAAAGGGUAUGGGCAAUGAAAAUUGCUUCAUCUAUCUUAUUGCUUCAUCUGAAAGAGCAUGAAAAAAUAAGCCGAUUGGCCGUUUACUGCUCUAUUCUAUCUCAUCUGGUUCCGAAGUUAUACGCAAAAA